AUGUAUCUCUCUCUAUCUAUCUCUCUCUCCAACAACUUCCUUCUUUCUCUUCUUCUUCCUUCUUCCUCGUCUUCUUCCUUUCAAGUGUUGAUACUGUCAUGGAAGUUGUGGAGAAUAGUUCAAACUGAAAUCAAGAAAGAGAAAAGUGUAUCAAUCAAAAUGGGAAAGACGGCAGUGGCUAUGAUGGUUUCGACAAUUUUACGAUGA